rnacentral:rRNA from 1 species
AUGUGCCAUCAACCGUCGAUAGUUCAGCUGUCACCAAAUGAGCAGCUUGCUGCUGAAGAAACCUUCAAGUUGUACUGCAAGCCAGUUGAGCUCUACUAUGUUAUCCAAAAACGAGCCCUUGAUAAUGUAUGUAUCUAUGUAACCUCCCUCCCUGAAUCCUUACUGCUCGCCUUGCUUUUUAUUUCAUUUCAUACAACAACAACAAUACAAUGA